ACAUCACUUGUUAGCACUGUUCUUCACAGAAGGAAAUGGACUGCUUAUGAUUCGGCCAACAGUGUCUGUCACACAGUAUCUCAGGAUGGGUCUUCCUGACUCUCUUUCAUCUGUUCAUUGCAGCCUACGAAGUCCUGUCCUCUGUGGCAGCAACCUCUCUUCUUUUUUCUUCACUUUUUAUGAAUCAGCUGGGCUUGGGUUGCCUUUAGUGAUGCCGUUGUAGAGUUUAGUGUAUUGUGUUGGGAACAGAAUGAUCAAGGGUUCACUUGGUUCCUCAGGCUGUGAACGAGCCGUCCUGACUGUGAAAGGUCCAUUCAUCCUCUGACCAAAAGACUGUAUCAAAGUCUAUCAGCCAUAUCCACUUUACGGGAAAAGACACACACACACACACACACACACACACACACACAGAGAGACAGAGAGAGAGAUAGAGACAGAGUAAGAGAUAAAGAGACAUACACACACAUGCAUACACAGACAUACACACAGAGAGACAGACACACAGACACGUGCACACACAGACGACAGACAGAAACACAGAGACACACAGAGACAUAGACACACACAGACACACACAGAGACACACAGAGACACGUGCACACACAGAUGACAGACAGAGACAUAGAUAUAGACACACACAGACACACACAGACACACACAGACACACACAGAAAGAGAAACACAAAGACACAUGCACACACAGAGAGACAGAAAGAGACAGAGAGAGACAGAGACAUAGAAACAGAGACACAUGCAAGCACACACACAAUUUUAUAUUAGUUCAUUUAUCUGUUGCUAUAACAAAAUGCCCAAAGCUAGGAACUUUAUUUAAAAAGGUUUUUUUGCUCAUGCUUUGGAGUUUGGGAACAUAGACACCAGACUCUGCUCAGCUCUGCUGAGGACCUCCCGGCUCUGGGGUCACAGGGGAGAUGGCAUUACAGUAGAAACCCAUGUAAGAAGAAGCAGUCACAUGGGAAGGCAAGAAGCUGGAGAGAUCCAGGGCCCAGGCUUGCUGUGUUUGUAAUGUACUCUCAAGGGAACAGACUAGGGUUCACUGAGAUCUGCAUUAACCCCCUCUGUGGUUGGCACCCCCAGUGACCUAACUACCUUGGGCUGGGCUCUGUCACUUGGAGAUUCCACAUCAUACAAGGAGCAAGCUUCCGACACAUGAAACUUUGUGGAACACAACAGCAUACACCCCAGACCAGGCUGAAAAUGUGUGUGACAAACAACAAUGGCACUCACAUUAGGAGAACCAUCCAGUGACAGCCAUGGUCUGGUCACACGGUGACAGCCAUUGUCAUCUGGUUAAUGUUCCAUUGCUCACCUCAUAGCUGCUACAGUGCAUCCAUGUGCAAUAACAGCCACUACUCAGUGUACAGUUACAAUCAGCCCUCACCACAGUCCUGGGAGGAAGAGUUGUGAAUUCUGAUGAUCCCAUGAGGCAAGAGAGGGGUAUGUAUGUGGGAAGGGGGGUGAUUCUUGGAGGCACUUGGUCAGUAUGGACGGAGCCAGGAUGCCCACAGGCUGCCUUGUAGGCUUCACUUCCAAGUGUGGAAUGGCCUCUGAAGAAAUUCAAAAGACCCUUGGUUAGGGUUCAGGAAGGCCAUGGGCACAGAAGAAGAUGAAGGGGCAACAUUGGUGAGCCGAAGACCAGUGUUCCCACUCAUCUUCUCCUGUGUCCACAUGAUACGCAGGAACUGCUGGUCCGCUUUGGGACCAUCCUUUCCUACUCCCAUUGCGUGCUGAGUCUUCUCUUCUCUUCCCUCACCACAGAGAGCUGACCCUGAAUUCCCAGCCUCGGUGCUAGAGAGUCUGUCAGCAUAGGUUCUCCUUCACAGGCGGUUCUCUAGCCUGCUCUUCGGGAAAUGAUGGCUCCUGGGAGAGCGAACUUAACUGGAUGCGACGUGCAGUUUGCAAGAACACAUUCGUUUUCAGCAAAGUCCAGAACGGCUGGAGCAAGAAGCUGGAAGGAAGCAGACAAGUCAAGACAGGGAGGGAAACCUAGCGCUCAAACAGUUGAGCACACACAACACCAGCUGGAACAGGCUUUCGCCAUGCGUGUAAGGGCCAUGUAUUUGUCUGAGGACACACACCCUGGAGUCCUUCAUCAAGAGGAGAGGGCUUUUCUUGGCUCAUGGUUCCGGGGUCAGAAGAUCCAGAAUCUGGCAGCUGUGGCUGGUAAGGGUCUUGAGCUGCAUCAACUCACAAAGUAGAGACGUGGGCUUAUCUGCAAGAGGUAAACCCAGAGAAGGACAUUGCUUUGUCACAGUGCAUCCCAUGGAAUCUGUCCAGCCCCAGGAGACUUCACCCAGGCUUCACAAAUCGACCUUAAAAGUGGAAUCUUUUCUGAAAGGCCCCUGCCUCCCAACCCUAUCACAAUGGCAAUCGAUGUCAGAAAGACCAAAUCCUUUUCAAACAAUCGUUGAACGGUCUCUUGAAUGUUGCUCUGAGGUGGAAAUCUUUCACACAAAUCGUGUUAUACAUGCAUGUCUGUGCAUACAUGGUCUGCUUGGGCUCUCCAUUCUGUCUCACUGGUCCGUCUGUUGUUGUGUCUCAGCUGCUGUGGCUCUCCAAGUCUAUGUGGCCUGCAGAGUGAGCCCCUGCCUUCAGAGCUCUUUUUGUGUCUCAGCUAUACUUUAGAACUGCAGUGCACACUUGAGAGACAGCCCACAUGUUUUCUCAAGUCCCAGACUAGCUCUUUCCUGUAAUUACAUUUAAUCCAUGCUAUACCUGCACUGCUCUAUGAAGGGACUCUUGGCACUUUUACACACUACAACAGUGCUUCCCAACCUUCCUAAUGCUAUGACACUUAAAUACAGCUCCUCAUGCUGUGGUGACCCCCAAUCAUAAAAU